UAAUCUUCGUUCGCGUCGUUCUGGUUACUCUCCUAGAUUCUGAGAAUGUCGUCGACAACAAUCGGCGAGCACAUCAAACUCCGACGAGUUAGGCACCAAACAAACCGCCACAGCACUGCUGACCAAGAUCUGCCGCUGACACACGUCGUCCCUCCAAUCUUCCAGCCCAAUCGCUUCUGUUAUUAGAGACGUCAAUGGCAGCGGCGGCUGCGUCGCGGUUUCUGAUGUUUGGUGCAGUAAAGGAUUAGGGUUCUCGACGGAUGCGGUGUCGAUGAUCCUCCGAGGAGGAAUCUUCCGCCGUCGCGUCGCAACACGUGGACAAGAACAGUUCGAACCAAACAGAGAGAAUAGUUGGUGUUUAGGCAAAAACUGUUUGGAGUGGUUGGAGCUAUAGUCGUUGUAGCAUCCCUAUGUUGUUGCUGGGGACCAACAAACGUCAUGUCGAUCUGUGGCUUGAAUCGAUCGAUUCGGUGAUGCUGAUUAUCACCAGGAGACAAGCUUCUUCUCAGAGUUAGGGGAGCUCCGCUUGCUCUGAUUCAUGUCUCCUCCUCUGAUCCUUUGCCUCACCUUAGUAUCAAAAACACACCAAUCGAGACAUCAUCUGCACAGUUUAUACAUCAACGGUACACUGCUGCUUCCAGUGGACAGAAGCUUCAAAACUCUAUAAUAAGCGCUUAUGGAGAAGCUCAAGAUGAUCACUAAACACAUGGAAGCUGAUAUUGAAGAGAAUCUGAUGUUCUAUCAGGCUUGCUAUUGAGUGGAUUUUUUCCAUGAUUUUUUUCCCAAGCCGGAAUUCCCCUACUCCAGAUUAUAUCUGACUUCAUAAGAAAAGUGGACUCGAUGCCACUGAAUAUGCCCGUGAGAUGCAAUGGAUUGCAGGGUAUUUGGUAGUCAGUAAUGUGAAUAUGCAAGAAGGUGCCCGCUGAGUUGUUAAUAUCUCAAUCCGUGCAAUUUUGCAAACCAAGUUUAACACCAAGGUCAACAAGUUUCUUUCUUUCUUUGUCGUUUGUAUAUUCUGAGUUUUACCUGUGAAGAGAUAUGAUCAGCUCAUCCUUUUUUCAUUGUACUAUAUUUGGUUGAUGAUUUGACGUUUCACAGGUGAAAAUUACGAAUUUGAAUGCGUUUUCAGCAAUUAACAGGAAACUUAACUAGGAGAUCCAGACAAUCACUUCUCUAUAACCAGGGCCAAGCCGACCAGAUCUUGGGAAGAAGAAACUCAGCCAUUUCUUCCAGAAGUAAUACUCGCCCAAGUAUAUCAUCCGAGCUUCUUUACUGGAGCUUCCUCAAGAAAAGGGCAGGACGUACGAGGCCAUGGGUGUAGGCACUUAACAUGUGUUCUUCCUCGCAAAUGAUGCCAAUAUAUUAUUUGAGCUCUUGGUUAAAGGUGAAACUGCCCAAGGAAUGAUAAAAGCAAAAGACUUGGUUUAGGCAAAGUAUAUGCUAUUCAGAGAAAAGUUUACUCCGAGCCAUUUUGAAGAUUCAUCGAGAAUAUACUUCAGGCUUACCCUACUUUAAUAGAUUUUUUUUGUCAAUAUGUUUCUGAUAAUCGAUCAUGUCGAAAUAAAGAAAAUGGUUAUAAAAGUGGACUCUCAA